UGCCCAUUCGCAGGUUAAGGGUGGGCAUAGCUCUGGAGAAAUCGAAUUGAUUCACGUUGAAUUUCCAACGUGAGUUCUACGCAUGCUCGGCAAUGUUGCAAAAUAUAAAUAAAGUAUUUAGAAUUUCGCGUCGAAAAUUUGAUACAUUUUACACUGAAAUCGAAUUGAAAACAACUAAAAAUUCUGGGGGAAAUUAUGUACGAAAGGUUCGGUUGGAUAGGGAUACAGCUACCUGAAAAAUACAAGGAGAACUUUGACGUUUCGAGCGAAGGCGCUUCGAUCUUUACUGUUAGUGUUUGUAUACAUCGUACUUGACCUUUGCUGAUAAAUAUAAUCUCCUCAAUAAUAAGUAUUAUAUAUUUUUAUGCUUUAAAAUUUACAUUUAAUUCUUCUGUCAGAAUUUCGUGGGUAGAAUGUCGUGGGUCGUGGGUAGAAUGUCGUGGGUCGUGGGUAAAAAGUCGUGGGUCGUGGGUAAAAAGUCGUAAGUCGUGGGUAAAAAGGCGUGGGUCGUGGGUAAAAAGGCGUGGGUCGUGGGUAAAAAGGUGCGGGUCGUGGGUAAAAAGGCGUGGGUCGUGGGUAAAAAGGCGUGGGUCGUGGGUAAAAAGGCGUGGGUCGUGGGUAAAAAGGCGUGGGUCGUGGGUAAAAAGGCGUGGGUCGUGGGUAAAAAGGCGUGGGUCGUGGGUAAAAAGGCGUGGGUCGUGGGUAAAAAGGCGUGGGUCGUGGGUAAAAAAUCGUGGGUCCCGAAUAAAAAGUCGUGAAUUCCAAGCAAAAUAUUUCCAUAUAUUUACCUUUCUC